GAUGAACGCUAGCGGCAGGCCUAACACAUGCAAGUCGAGGGAGGAGCUUUCGGGCUUCGACCGGCGUACGGGUGCGUAACGCGUAUACAAUCUGCCUUUCACAUAGGGAUAGCCCGAAGAAAUUUGGAUUAAUACCUAAUGGUAUAUAGAGGUGGCAUCACCUUUAUAUUAAAGCUGAGGCGGUGAAAGAUGAGUAUGCGUUCUAUUAGCUAGUUGGAGAGGUAACGGCUCCCCAAGGCGACGAUAGAUAGGGGUUCUGAGAGGGAUAUCCCCCACACUGGUACUGAGAUACGGACCAGACUCCUACGGGAGGAAGCAGUGAGGAAGAUUGGACAAUGGUCGGAAGACUGAUCCAGCCAUGCCGCGUGCAGGAAGACGGCCUUAUGGGUUGUAAACUGCUUUUGCAGGGGAAGAAUAAGGACUACGCGUAGUUUGAUGACGGUACUCUGCGAAUAAGCAUCGGCUAACUCCGUG
rnacentral:rRNA from 1 species